UAGCGGCGGCCAGGGCUGUUCUUCCAACCAGAAUGCAAUGCAUUCUUAGGCUUUCUACUCAUCUCUCGCUCUUUGGACGAUAGGCAUGCUCUUGGUAACCCCCGAACCAUCCAAGUCUCGGUCGCAUUGCAACUGGCGGAACAUCUUGCUCACCUUAAUCUCUGCAGCCAUAAUGUUCCUGGGCUGCAUCAAGCUACGUGUCAUCCACAACAAGACGCAGUCCGGUGUUCGACGAAUCAGGUCCGCAGGAGCUACACGCAACCAUUCUUCCGAUGAUGAACCUGGGAAAAUCACACAGGUCCCGCCGCAUGUCAUCCGUUGUUAUGACCAAUUGUCUGCUUUCGUGGCCAGGUACUCGGAAGAAAUAAUGCAGCUUGACGAACAUGUGCGUUCCGAAGUUCGGCUUUGUAUAGAUGAUAUGAGCAGAUGGUAUGCCGUGCUUCGUUCCCUCAAGCGAGACAUGUGUUUGGGAAGAACACAGAGUCUGUGCGAUGUUCCUCAAACGGACGUACCAACAACCCAAUCGUCCGACCACAGAACUCACCAGGACUGGAAGACCUCAUCAAGGAAACGAUCGGGCAAGGAUAAGACUGAGGUAGGUCUGUACUACGCCGCACCGGCAAAUGACCCUUUCCGAAGAUUGACAGCAGCUCCUACGGCUUGGGCUGCUGUUCAGGCACUGCAGACUGGCUCGAUGAAAGCCAAAGACAUCAACGGUCCACUUUCGAGGCGAGCGAGUUGUGACGUCGAAGAAAAUCUACGCGUUGGUGGCAUCACUCCAUACCAGAUCUUAAGAGCAUACAAGGCGGAAGUGUACACCACGUAAGAAGUGAAGGCACGACGGAUUCAAGUGUGUUGACCGAAGACAACUCUCCUGAAUAAAUGUUCUUCUUACCCGGC